AAGCAGGGUAGAGUAAUUGGUCAACUCAUUAGGCUCAUGAUCUGAGAAUUACAGGUUCUAAUCCUAUCCCCGCCUA
rnacentral:tRNA from 1 species